GUACUACCUGGCAGAGGAAACACCAUUACCACAUGAUCACCAGGCUUUUUGUGGGCUAAGAGGUGGUUUCCCCAGAGUGAGACCUGUCCCUUGCACUCCCAGCACACUGACCCCUGCGAUUUAUCCAAAUGCAGGAAACGCAACUGCACAAUUUUGUGGCAGAUGGGGACUGCUUUCCCUGU
rnacentral:snRNA from 1 species